AUGUGCAGACAGCCGGUUCUGUUUUUCUGCACUGGAAGCCCAUUGGGAAGUCCCCGCUCAGAAGCUCUGUGCCUGGGUUUGCAUGUCCUCGUUAAGCGUCAUCGUCCCCCUCCACGUCUUCACCUUGUGUCUUACCACCUGCGGUGCCCUAGGCUCACAUACCUGGCUCCCUGGAGGCAUCCCACAGGAGAGCCCUGUGCCACCCCAGUCCUGGAGGCGGAAGUCACUGGGUGGAGGAAGCCAGAACUGCCAGCGGUAGUCCCGCAUCACCACCACCAUCAUCAUUGUCAUUGUCCGGCCCCAUUAGGCUAUCAAUCAGCAUGGCCGGGCUGGGGAAAACUGCCCAGCACAGGAGAGACAGACACCUGGAUACAAGCCCUUGCUCGAGCAAGUUUUUGCCUCUUCCCUUGCCUCAAUCUUUUCUUCCUAAGGUGAGGGGCUUGGGCCUGACAGUUGGGGCGAGGGAUGCACCCUGUGGCCAAAGACUAGAUCCUUUUCUUGUCCCUCAAGAUUGCCAACCAAAUUCUUCCAAUCUGGGGUUCCAGGAAAGACUUCAUCGGGUCAUCAGCGUCUGGCCCUGCCUUCUAACGGCCCGUCGGGUUGAUCUGAACAAAAGAAAACGGGUUGGAGCAACACAGGGGAAGACAGAAACCCAGGCGCAGGAGAUUUGCAGGUGCAAUUUCGUACAAAUGUAACCGCAUCGUGGCCACCCCUUCCCCGAGAAAGAUAGGAGGCCAACAGGAGAAGUGGGGGAGGGGGAGAGGUAAAAGGGGAGGGGACAGCGGGAAAAGGAUGUGGGAAGGGUUGCAGGGAGAGGUGGCCAAGACAAGAUCUCUCUGGAAACAAUGCCCCUCUGCCAUAUUCGCCUCCCAAGGAAUCAGACUGGGUGUGUGGUCAAUUAUAUCCCGGUAGAACUGGAAGAAAAAAACUGGGCGUGUGCCGGGAGGGCAGUUAUAUGUGUUUUUGACGUGUGUGAGUGUGUGCGUACGUGUCUGUGUCUCCGUGACUGUGUGUGUGCUUGAGUGUGCAUCUGGGCGUGCGCAGAUAUGUUUGAAUGUGUCUGUGUGUCUGUGUAGCUGCAUGCCUAGACAGCGUCUGGCACGUAUUAGGACACGAUCAAUAUCUGAGAAUUGAAGGAAUACACAUGAGAAAGUAUGUGGCGUUCCUGAGUGAGUACGGUUACACACGUUACAUGGCUGUCCGUGCGUUCCUCUAUGUUUAUCGGAAUGUGUCUGUUUGUGCCUCGUGGUAGGAGAGGAGCAUAGAGGUAUAUUGGUGCCUGACUGUGUGCUGUCGUCACAUAUGGGUGUGCAGGUACGUGUGAAGUGUGAGCGAUCGUUUCAAGGGUGCAUGUGCGGCUCAGUCGGUUAAGCGUCCGACUCUUGAUUUCCGCUCAGGUCAUGAUCUCACGGGUUCGUGCGGCUUCAUGACUGAGCGUGAGGGAGUAGGUGUUCGCGUGCAUCUGCGAGCCUGUCUGCAAGGGUGGUGUGUGUGUGUGUGAGUGCGUGUGUGCACACGAGUGUGCUGUGAGAGUGUGCGCCUGGGCACCUGCGGGUGAGCCUGCCAGUCCUGGUUUCUUGCCCUUUCCCUAAGUCAGGAAGUGCUGGUGGUUUACACGAUCGGUCAGUUCCCCUUUCACACCUGCGGGAGCCAGAAGGGCCCCUGAAAGCCUCUCACCCACUCGGUUAUUUCUGCUUCCUUUGUGGGAAGCAGAAAGGACCCAUUUGCAAGAGUUCAACUGAAGCCGCUCCCCAGGCCCCAGCACUGAGGGUCCAGAGGAAACACCGCAGCUCUGGCCCCAGAGAGGGAGCUCCUGUUGUACCCCUCUCCCGUGUCGCUCUCAGAUCCCCUGCUGGACGACAGGGCGAGGCCCUUCCCCGGGCCGGUGAGCCUCAGCGCCAGUGGGAAUGAGCAGGACGGGAGAUCUGGAGGCAGACAACCUGGGUUCAAGUCCUGAUCGCACCCUCCGGUGAAGUGGGAGGCUUUGGACAAGAAGCUGAAAUUCUCUGAGAUUUCACUGCCUCACUGACAAAAUGGGGCGCCUGAUAACAAGGGUGAUCGCUGCUGAUUUCAGCGGGUCUGAACUGAGACGGUGAACACGAGCAGCGGAUCCUACCGAGGCACCCGUCUCCGGCCUCUGGGAAUCCUGGCUUCUCAGGUCCCAGCUGCCCGCUUCUUGACCUCGGCCAAACAGAUGUCGUCUGCCGGGGAGGCUGAGUCUCUCCUCCAGAGCGCCCAGCAGCCCAUGACUACUGACUCCAACGGGCUAUAGAAAGUUCGCCCUCUUGCCUCAAGGUGGAAGCCGCUCCAUGAUACGGUCCACACUCUAGAGCUCCCGUGGGAUCAGGUUAAGCUGAUCACCAGCCGAGACCACAGCCUUCCCCAGCUUUCUUUCCUGGCUUCCACCCUGCAGCCUUCGACCCCUGAGCCCCAGAACAGGCCCCCAACAAGCUGCUUUCAUAAGAAGCCCCUCCAACGCUCUGCUGAGAAGCCCUGUAGAAAGCACUUUUACCAGACUCAUUUCAUACACAUGAAAGGUCCAUGAGCUGGGGUAUGAGUUAGCUCUUAUCGUCCCAUUUGAAGCUAGGAAGGUGGAGGUUAGUGGAGGAAAAAAAAUGAAAUAAUAAAGAGCAAAAUGUUCAGAGUUGAGUAGUCA
rnacentral:lncRNA from 1 species